rnacentral:lncRNA from 1 species
GGGAGACCAGAACUACUUUGUUGCCUGACUUUGUUUCAAAGACGUCCUACAGGCUCUGCCGAACUUUCUUAGACGGAACCACUGUCUAGGGUACUCCCUCCCAUCUUCCCCUCUCUGCCCCACUGGGGAUGAGACUCACGUCGAGGUCUGACGGCUCUCCCAGCCUCUCAUAGAUCCCACCUCCCUUUUUACCUCCCACCCUUUUCACGCAGGCAUGUCCCCCGAGAAAAAAAUCCUUGCAAGUUUAAUCUGUUCUUGAGGCCCCAACCCCCUCUGUUCCCAGUCGUGGCUGUCCCAGGUCCUGGUCCUGGUCGACAGUGGCGGACCACUGAGCCACACCUGUCCCUUUCCCAGGCCCGGCCCCCGCCUUAGGGCUGCAUCUCUCCGCGUGUCAGCUCAUCAAACCUGCACAUCUGAACUAUCGCUCCUGAUGACAAAGUUAGAUUGGGGGCCAGUGGGGUCGUUGCAGGUGUGGACCAGGCAGGAGAGGCUUGUUUAGCAUCACUAUGGAAACCCCAGGCACCCAUCUUGGAAAGGUGUUUUAAAAUGGCCGGGUCAGACGCUCAAGGGGCGGAGUCAGUAGAGAGGGGGCAGGGAAAUUCUCUGCCCCUCCCCCCGUGCUUCCGGGCAGGACUGGUGCGGAGCUCUUCAUUUCUCCUCACGCCAGCAGCAGCAGGUCCAGGGCCGUCCCGACUCCCGGAGAGAGAGCUCGGAGUUCAGGGGCUUGCGGGCUUCGACCCGAUGGUGUGAAGUGAGAAUGUCAACUUUUCUGAGCCCCAAUUUGUUUUUCUUCUGCACACUUGGGACAUAUCCUGAGUGACGCUGGACAGAUGCAGGUGGGAUGGGGUGAGAGGAUGGCAAGAGUUGGAAGGAAGGACCGUGGCUGGGUGGGUCCCUCUGGGACAGAGUAGGGCAGGCACAGCUCUAGGGACAUUUCACAGGAAGGAAUGCGGGGGGUGGGCUGCCAGGACGUCACAAGGGUCCCAUUGUGACGCCCCCCCCCCCCAGCAAAGCUGGGGAUUGGCCCAAGGAGCGGAGGGGGAGGGGCAGAUAGGAGGCUGGUUGCCAGGGCCUGAGCCCAACAGGGAGACGACGGGACAGAGUGGUGGCACUCUGGCUCCAGCUCCUCCUCCAGGCCCCUUCAUCCUGACCCUUUCACAGCCUCCUCUAACCAGGACUCCGACUUCCCUCUCCGUCUCCUCUAUCCGGCUCCAGGCGGGCCCCUCCAGGCCCAGCAGAAGCACGGGUCUGUGGACAGGGUGCGGCUGGCAAAGGAUCAGUGGACAGGGUGGGGCUGGCUGCACCACGCGAAUGAGACCUGCCAUAGGGAGACCCGACGCAGGGGCAGAGCGAAGAUGGGGCCUGCACAAAUCUGGCUCCGAUGAGGACUCACCAACCAUCCGGCGUCCUCUCCUGGGUCUCUGGCCCCACGGCCCCACGCUCGGGUUAGGCCUCCAGUUGUUGCCCACUGGCCUCCUCCAGCUUCUCUUCUCCUCCAGCUUCUCUCCUCCUCCAGCUUCUCUCCUCCUCCUCUCUUGUCUGCUCUUGAAUUUCUUUAAAAAUUUCCCUGCCUCCAGGCUCGUUUUUGACUUACCUGCUGAUCAGUCCCUGGAUAUUCACAUCUGCCUGGGGUCACCAAGUCAAGAUGACCGUGGUGGGGAUGGAACUCUGAGUUUCCUGGACCACAGUGCAGGUGAAAAAUGUACCUUAUCAGAGCGAAAAGGAAUGGUCUUAUCACAAGAUCAUUUUGAAAAUGGGCCUCAGGGGACACAUGUCCCUUAAUCCAGUCUGUGAGGUCCUACAACACCAUACUCUGCAAAUUCUAGCAGAGAGGUUGCAGUGAUUUGGGAGAGGCCUCAAAAUCAUGACUGCACCUCCUGGCACAGUUUACCCGAGUGAUGCUCCCUGGCCCCCAGGUGUGUGCAAACAGCCCCCAAGGAUUGCACCACCACUCCUCAGAUGGCAGGACAGCAGCCUCCUUCGGCCUGGAGAGCUUCGCCUCCGUCACUGGUGCCCACCUGGGAAAUCUCAGACUGCUCUGCAAAGGUGCAAUUGGAUGCCCACUCUGAAAGGACAUUUUAUCCCGUUACUGUCCCUCUGGAAUCAUUCACUAACCAAACAUAUAUAAACCGACCUGUCUUCUGUGUGUGGCUUCCUAUGUGCCUGAUAUUGAGGAUGAAAAAUAAAGGAAUAGACUGACUUGGACAUCUGAGCACUGUGGCCCACUUUAGCUUCUCAGAGAACACCAAGUCUCCAGCAAACUCUGCAUUUGCAUCUGGAACCCAAGUGAAAGGCCAAGCUGCUUGGGUGACAGGGAGAGGGUGGCAUGGCUGCCAGCAGGUCCCCAAGACCGAGAGGACACAGGGUUUGCUUAAAGACCCCUCAGCUGGCAGGUGGCAGAUUCAGAGUGGACACCAGAGCGCAUUAACUGGGGAGGAGCAAGUCCCAAGAGGAACAGUGAAAACAAGACUCUGGCUCCAACCACUUAGCAUCUCACACAGUGAAGGAGAAUGGUUGCCAUCCAGUUGGCCACCAGAGGGCGCUCUGGGCAAAAAGAUCUUGAGGCCGUUCUUCAGCUCUUCGACUUGAUCGCCUCGCAAACUCUGGAGUCAGUGCUGUUUCCCAGAGACAGCAGACUGCUUUGCAUUCCCUUCUCUGCACCUCCGUGGCAACCUCUGUCAUGAUGUGAAAAGAGCCAGCUUUCAAUCCCAACUGGACCACCAACCAGCUGUGAAAACCUGUGCACUUCAACUGCUAUGAACCUCAGUCUCAUUCUCUCUCCCUGCAUCAUGGAGUUGCUGUGAGGAAGAGUGAUAACGAACAUGGAGGACCAGCUUAGUAUCCAGCACAAAGUUCCUUGGUAAACAGGAGCCUCUGUAGCCUGGCCACCCUGUCUUAUGAUCACUGAUUCACAUGUCCUUCAUUCAACCUCCUGGAAGGCAGCAUCUGUGUCAUCUCUGCCUGUACCUCCAGCCCCUAGCCCAGGGCUUAAUGGCACAUAGGCACUCCAUUAACUCAUUACUCAGACAUUACUGAGGUGGAGAAAUAGAUACUGUGGUUACAGAGUGGCUCCGACAAGAUUUAGACUCUCAAGGAAGUUACAUUUGAUCUAAUCAUGAGAAAAAUGUCAGAUAAACUCCUGUCAAGAGGCAUCCUACAGUACAUCUGAUCAAUACUGUUGAAAACUGUCAGGGUCAUCAAAAACAAGGAAAGUCUGAGACUGUCGCAGCCGAGAGGAGCCCAAGGAGACAUGAUGACUAAAUGCAAUGUGGUAUCCUGGAUGGGAUCCUAGAACAGAAAAAGGACAUUAGGUAAAAACUAAGGAAAUCUGAAGAAAGCAUGGACUUCAGCUAACAUUAAUGUAUCAAUAUUGGUUCAUUAACUGUAACAAACAUGCCACAGUAGGGUAAGAUGUUAGCCAUACAGGAAAAUGGGUACCGGGUAUAUGGGAACCCUCUGUACUAGCUUCUCCAUUUUUCUGUAAGUCUAAAACUUUUCUGAAAAAUAAAGCCUAUUUAAAAAAAAA